UGAAAUAGUUAGAAUAAGUUCGAAGUAGUAAGAUUUAGUCCAAAAAGCGUUUAUUAACUCGAAAAUGACAGCAGAAAUGAGAGAGCAAAACGCAGUGGAGUGACUCUCUUCAGUCCGAACUAAGUAGAUUUAGCCAGCAGAAUUUUUGCUGUCAAAAUCUUGAAAAG